rnacentral:rRNA from 1 species
GUUGAGCGCUGGCGGCAUGCUUUACACAUGCAAGUCGAACGGCAGCGCGGGCUUCGGCCUGGCGGCGAGUGGCGAACGGGUGAGUAAUACAUCGGAACGUGCCCAGUAGUGGGGGAUAGCUCGGCGAAAGCCGGAUUAAUACCGCAUACGACCUGAGGGUGAAAGCGGGGGAUCUUCGGACCUCGCGCUAUUGGAGCGGCCGAUGGCAGAUUAGCUAGUUGGUGGGGUAAAGGCCUACCAAGGCGACGAUCUGUAGCUGGUCUGAGAGGACGACCAGCCACACUGGGACUGAGACACGGCCCAGGCUCCUACGGGAGGCAGCAGUGGGGAAUUUUGGACAAUGGGCGAAAGCCUGAUCCAGCAAUGCCGCGUGUGUGAUGAAGGCCUUCGGGUUGUAAAGCACUUUUGGCGGGAACGAAAAGGACUGUGCCAAUACCACGGUUCGAUGACGGUACCCGCAGAAUAAGCACCGGCUAACUACGUG